rnacentral:rRNA from 1 species
AUACGGAGGGUGCAAGCGUUGUUCGGAAUUACUGGGCGUAAAGCGCGUGCAGGCGGUAAGGUAAGUCAGAUGUGAAAGCCCCGGGCUCAACCCGGGAAGUGCAUUUGAUACUGCCUUUCUUGAGUAUGGGAGAGGAGAGUGGAAUUCCCAGUGUAGAGGUGAAAUUCGUAGAUAUUGGGAGGAACACCCGUGGCGAAGGCGACUCUCUGGACCAAUACUGACGCUGAGACGCGAAAGCGUGGGGAGCGAACAGGAUUAGAAACCCGAGUAGUCC